rnacentral:rRNA from 1 species
UGGGAAUAUUGGACAAUGGGCGGAAGCCUGAUCCGGCAAUGCCGCGUGAGUAGAUGAAGGCCUUAGGGUUGUAAAGCUCUUUACCCGGGAUGAUAAUGACAGUACCGGGAGAAUAAGCUCCGGCUAACUCCGUGCCAGCAGCCGCGGUAAUACGGAGGGAGCUAGCGUUAUUCGGAAUUACUGGGCGUAAAGCGCACGUAGGCGGCUUUGUAAGUUAGAGGUGAAAGCCUGGAGCUCAACUCCAGAAUUGCCUUUAAGACUGCAUCGCUUGAAUCCAGGAGAGGUGAGUGGAAUUCCGAGUGUAGAGGUGAAAUUCGUAGAUAUUCGGAAGAACACCAGUGGCGAAGGCGGCUCACUGGACUGGUAUUGACGCUGAGGUGCGAAAGUCGUGGGGAGCGAAACAGGAUUAGAUACCCUGGUAGUCCACGCCGUAAACGAUGAUAACUAGCUGUCGGGGCUCUUAGAGCUUCGGUGGCGCA